rnacentral:tRNA from 3 species
CGGCCAGUGGGUCCUGGAAAUCUGGGGAGUCGGGCCCCGAUCCUUCGUCGUCGGGCUCGGCGACUGCGGUUCGACCCCGCGCGGGCCGC